CAAUAGCGUAUAUUAAAGUUGUUGCGGUAAAAAAGCUCGUAGUUGGAUUUCUGUUGAGAGCGACCGGUCCAUACCAUGUAUGCGUAUCUGGCUUGCUCUCGGCAUCCUCUCGAUAGACGUUACUGCGCUUGAUUGCGUGGUGCGGAUCUCGGGACUUUUACUUUGAGGAAAUUAGAGUGUUCACGGCAGGCUUUCGCCAGAAUACAUUAGCAUGGAAUAAUACUAUAGGAUCUUGGUUCUAUUUUGUUGGUUUCUAGAAUUGAGAUAAUGAUUAAUAGGGACAAUUGGGGGCAUUCGUAUCAACACGUCAGAGGCGGAAUUCUUGGAUUGUGUUGCGACGAACUACUGCGAAAGCAUUUGCCAAGGAUGUUUUCAUUGA
rnacentral:rRNA from 1 species